rnacentral:siRNA from 1 species
UCUCAACAAGUUGUGCCUGAGA